rnacentral:misc_RNA from 1 species
AACGCAUAUUGCGCUCUUUGGUAUUCCGAAGAGCAUGCUUGUUUGAGUAUCAGUAAACACCUCAACCUCCUCUUGAUUUUUCAAAAGGAGGGUGGACUUGAGCUAUCCCAACAACCUUUACCGGUAGGCGGGCGGCUUGAAAUGCAGGUGCAGCUGGACUUUUAUCUGAGCUAAAAGCAUAUCUAUUUAGUCCUCGUCAAACAGGAUUAUUACUAUUGCUGCAGCUAACAUAAAGGAUAAUUGUCCUCAUUGCUGACUGAUGCAGGAUUUUACGACACUUUAUGUGUUGUUCAACUCGAUCUCAAAUCAAGUAAGACUACCCGCUGAACUUAA